GCCUAAAUGGCUCAGUUGGUAGAGCAUGCAUCUCUUAAUUUCAGGGCUGUAAGUUCAAGCCCUAUAUUGGGCA
rnacentral:tRNA from 1 species